AGGAAAAGGGAAUUAAAAUGUGACUUCAUCUGAAGAUUCCAAAGGGAACUGGAUCAAAGAUCAUACUUAGAAAGGGGAGAUUGUGUGCAUCUUGGGCCAGCCCACGUUUCCUAUGAAAUUUUUCUAACAACCCCUUAUUCAUCCUAAGGACAUCAAAUUCUACUUCACAUGGACUAUCACUCCACUUCAAGUCAGUUUCUGUGUCGUAUCCUUUCUACAGUACAUUAAGUGGAGGGCUUUCCACGCUACCAUUCCAAAGAGAACAAGAAUGAACCAGGCAGUCAGCAGCAGCUCAAGGUUUUAAGAUUAGCAAAGCAUGUGAACAAAUGUCAUCUCACUGAUUCCUCACAACUAUGGGAGGGAAUAACUUUUUCUAUCUGGAUGGAAAGAGAGCCAAUUGUCCAGGAACAAGAAUUCCACCUAAAGUGGAGUCAGUCACCAGAGAAGAAAAUGAUGAAAGUCCUCCAAAAGUUCUAGCCAUCACUUUCAUGCUUUUGUGAAUGAGUUUAAGCAAGCUGGAUUAUGGUCCCAUUAAGCAACAUGGCCCAUUCAAGGGUCUACUCCAAGCCAAGCUGUUUGGAAUGAAACACAGCACCCGAUCGAAGAGCAGCGACCUCUGACAGGUAAUACGAUAUGAGCAGCUGUCUACAUGAUUUAUAACUCUCAAAUAAAAUAUGCAUGUUCAGUA